AACUAUUUUUGAAAUCGAUCAGCCACACCUGCGGCCCGGGUUGCACCGGACGCAAUAGACACAGUAGACGGUGCAAUACCCACAGGGCCGCGGCGUGCAAUUCGUUGUUGGCUGUGGCGGGACUAUGGUCGUCCGACGCUGGACGCAGGUGGGGUGGACUUGGAAGUCGCAGCCAGCGCAACCAUAGUGUGCACCGCACACAUUUGUGUUACAAGCAUCGCAGAUGAUCUGGACACCUGAAGGACAGCGCGGUUGAUACUUGAGCGGGUGACCAUGGCAGGGGAAGUUGUACGUGGCGCAGGAGAGAUGCAGGUCGAAAUUGCAGCCGUGGCAGCGGUAGCGGGCACCCCUUCCACCGCGGCCGCAGCCGUCGCAGGUGAAGUCGCCGUGCUCAUGGCGGACAAGCGGGCACCCAUGGCUGUGGUGGUGGAUCGUCAUGCCCGAUGGACGUUUGCUUCGUGUGUUCUUCCUCUUGGGUUGGGUUUGGGAUUGGGUGUUUUUUGUUUUGCAGCGCCCUGUGGAGGUUUAUAUAUAGUACAGAUGUAUAAGAUGCGUGUAUGUGUGGGGCGCGUAGUAUUAGUACCCAACUAACUACACAAAAGAAAUAAUGGCUUGAGACGCGGUUUGAGUAAUUAAGCAACAUGAUUUGAUUUAGAAUCAAAGCAUAUACACAAAGACUUGGUGUGUAAGUCUUCAAAUACAUCUACGUAUAGGCUGUAGCCGAGCUUGUACAUGUGCUAGUCGGUCGAGCUGGAUUUGAUUGCGUCCGACCAAAAGCCUCACACGUACACGUGCUUUCAAUGAAGCAACAACCAAAGCAUAUACAGAUAAGCACGUAGACAAAGACUUGGUGUAGCUGCUUAUACCUCAGUAUUGGAUGUUCACAUUGUCAAAAACAAUUGAAUGCAUGCAUGUGAGUGUGACUCAUGAAUUCCUGGUGAAUGACCAUGUGAUAUCUUCUAUAGUCAGUUGGAAAAAUAAUUCCAAUCACCGGCUAGUCUCCAGGUCAAUGUAAUUUAUAUACUUCAUUGCUUCCUUUUUUGACUAGCUACUUUCACCCACCAGUCCAUCAGUUUCUUUUUUGAACACAGUACAAUCAAAUUGAUUCACAUACACAAGCAUACACUCGGAGACUAGCCAUAAGCGAACAUCAUUGCUACAGUAGUAAAUACUACUCCCUCCGUCUCAAAUUUUUUGUCUUAGUUUUGUCUUGAAAUGGAUGUAUCUAAAUACUAAAAUUUGACUAGAUACAUUCACAUUUAAAUAAAUCUAAGAUAAGAAUUUUGGAACGGAGGGAGUAUCAAACAUAGAUCAUGCAGCUACAAUCAACAAGCCGGCAUGCCUCAAGCCACAGCCCUGGUAGCACGGGGCCUAGCUACGCCUUUGCAUACGCUUGUCCUUGUGAACGCAUGCGUAGAGUAUAUCCUACCCUAUAAGCAUCUUUAAAAGACCAAGUCCACAUGGCAUCUUGAGAUUUUACGAAGUCAUUAUAAAUGUCUCGCAGUCGACAGAAACAUCUUUUCUCACCGAACAAACGUCGCUGGAAGUCUAAAAUAAGUCAAGGGAUAAUGCUACUGUCCUCCUAACCAUCCAAUUAUAGGUUGCUUCGCAAUCCAUGGAUUCUUGAUCUAUAUGUGACUAUAAAAUAUAUUUUAACGAAUUGUUCUAUAUUUGCACGACUUUUCAAAAAUUAAAUAUGAUGUGUUUCCUAAGUGUAACACUAGGCAAACAUGACACGUGGCACUAUGUGAUAGCUUCUAGGACACGAGUUUGCUUUGUCUUGCACUCGGUAAAGCUUUCCUUUGUGCCCAGAAAGGUACGGCAAACCUGACGGACACAUGGAUGUCGUAGUGGCCAAGAGUUUACGGAGUGUAAGGAAAAUAUUAGUUAGUACCGACACAAGAGGUCUAACCAAACAAACUAGGCAGGUGGCGCGCUGACAAAGUCCAUUAGUAUAGCGGCGGAGGAACUCGGCAAAAACCUCAAACACAUGGCAUGACUGUUGCCAUCACCAUUCCAUGUGUCACUUUAUUUUGCCUAGUUAACUAUGGUUUGCACUCAAAAAACAUUUGCGACUACCCGAGAGAAAAAAAAACUAGGACAACUUCCUUUGCUGGGAGGAGACCAGUUGACACCUCUUUGUCGAGUCAACCAAUAUGAUGGAGUCAGCAAGCUCUUUCCCGAGCUGUUUUUGAACAUUACCGAGUGCCGUGGGUACUAGGCAAGUGUGGUGUUUCCAGUUGUGACAAUGGCAGUGAAAUGGAAGCCCUGAGUGUGAGUCUAAAGUCUAAACUGCAACGGAUGUUGCAUCUGAGGAUGUCAUACUUCAUACAAACAAAAAGCCCAUAUUUCAGAAACAGAUUGAAGGAUUUCUAGUCGACGCAUGGUAAUACCGCCCAUGGAGUAUUACCAUUCAUUAUAACAAACUAUUGUCAUCGUUCGUAUGAUGACAAUUGUUGCUACACAGUUUUUAAUACUUUAGUUGUAUUGAAAAUCACUGCUGCCAAAUAGUUGCAUUAACCAUGCCACAGAUCUACGCACCCUCUCCUUCUCAAAAAUAUUAUGUUUAAACACAUGAACAUUAUUUUAGAUGUCAUGUACUUUUUAUGAAUGGUAUGAACAUUAUUUUCAAUUUUGUGAAGACUUUCUUACAUUUUAUGAAUAAUUGUUUUUAAACCAAACAUAUUUUUUGACACUCCCGAGCAUAUUUAAAAAAAUGUUUAAAAUAAUAUUUUUAGUAACAUUUUCAAAUCGUUGCACACACAUUAGUUGGACGCACUACAUACAUUUUCUUAAAUUUUAUAAAUUUGAUAUUUUUAAUUUAAGAAAUAUAAAUAAAAGAAUGAAAUGAACGAAGAGACGAAUGUAACACAUGUAUGACACGAAGGCACGUCCCUAGGUGUGUUAAAAGAUGUAACACAUAUCCGUGUAAUAUAAACAGUAUAUGAUUGUGUUUAAGUUACUUGUUGGAGAUAUAACUUGUAUAACAAUCCAACAACUAAUCUUGUAGAUCUUUGCUUUCCAGCACAGUGGNNNNNNNNNNNNNNNNNNNNNNNNNNNNNNNNNNNNNNNNNNNNNNNNNNNNNNNNNNNNNNNNNNNNNNNNNNNNNNNNNNNNNNNNNNNNNNNNNNNNCGAAUAAUAGUUUCCCCUUCUGCAUUACUUCUUCGAUUUGGUAAGCUGCAGUGUCUGUAUUUUUUAAAAUAUGAUUGUUUCCCUCAUCUAUAUUUUACUAUGUGAUUUCUUUCACUGCAUAAGGUCCGUAAUUGUAUUGAAAUUUGGAUUGCUUAUUGUAUUGUCUUCAAUAAUAUAAAGUUUAUUCCUGAAUUAAUGAAUUGUUGUCUCGCAAAUGAUUGUUGUUUCACAAAUUGUGUAUACGCUUUGAUCCUUAACAAGUAUGAAUUGUGUGUGCAUCUCAAGUCCUUGACAAAUAAACAAGGUGUAUUUGUCAAUCCAACUUACGCAUGCUUCAUGGAUGAAGUAAAGAAAAAUCUUCAUCCUUUGUCAAUCCAAGUACAAUGAUAUCUAAAAAAAUGUUCAUGUGUUUCAACAUAAUAUUCAUACAAUGUAAGAACGUCUUCACAAAUUGAAAAUAAUGUUCAUACCAUUCAAGAAAAAGCACAUGAUAUCUAAAAAAUGUUCAUUGAUUUCAACAUAAUAUUUUUGAUGCAUUUUAAAAAAUAAUUACACAAUACAAUAAAUGUUUGCAUAAUGAAAAAUAAAAUGCUUGGUACCAUUCAAACAAAAUGUACCUGACAUUUAGAAAAAUGGUUAAGGAAAACUUUAAAAAUGAUAUAUGCAAUGUAAAGAAAUGUUCACGUAAUUUAGAAAAGUUUUGUAUCUAUUUAAAAAAAUUCUGCAUCUAUUGGAAAAAUAUUUAACAUGUAUGUGAAUAAUAUUCAAUGUAUAUCAAAAACAACUAACGCAUGUACCGAACUGUAAAUACGGUUGCCCUAUUGAUAACAUCGUUUCUCGCUACNNNNNNNNNNNNNNNNNNNNNNNNNNNNNNNNNNNNNNNNNNNNNNNNNNNNAUGUAUUGGUCGACAUAAUUUUUAUUUUAUUUUAACGGUCAAUGUAAAGUUAAAUAGAGUGAUACCUUUCAAAGAACCUAACAGUCGAUGGUGUUCUUUCCGUGUAAUGAGGAUGCAUAUUCAAUUAACAAUUUGCAGCAAAAAAAUGAGUUUGAUAUCAAGCUAUACGGUGUUCCUAAAAUUUUAAUUCAUAAUUAGUUUGAAAAAUCCGGAUGGCAGUUUUCGGUAUCCGCGGUAACCAUGUUUCUCGCUCCCCUCGCUGAAAUUAAACAUUGGUUUUACGAUAGAAAUGCUAAAACAUCCUUAGAAUUAAUUAAGUGGGAGAGCCCAGGAUACACUAUGUUUACAUACCGUGACGUGUGACAAAUGAAUACACUGUAUCUAAACAUCUAAGAGGCUUCAAAGCCUGUUGAAGCUUCUCUUUUAUUCGUACACAACUACGUUCAAUCCAAACUUGCUAACCCUUCCUUUCCGGUUUACAGGUCUCAUCUUAAAAAUUUCUGAUUUUCGUUAUAUUAGGCUCAUUUUAAGUCGAAUUGAGUUAAAGUGCUUUGAGUCCCACGCCAUAUUUAAUUCAUAUGGAUUAGAGAAAGAAAAUUAAUGGAUAUGCAUGCAUCUUUUUCUACAUUCAUCAUGCAAGUCCAAUGAAAAGAAGGAUGCUACAUUUAUUGCCUCGAAAAUUAAAUAUGUGAGAAAUAUUUCAUUGGCUAGUUAAAACUAGUGCUAUCCUCUCAUAAUUCACCUUGAUUAAUUGGAUUUUAGAUUUGAGUCCUAUAAACUGAAAAGGAGGGAGUAUAUCCCAAGAUGUAGGAAAAUAUCCGCUUAAAGGAAAGUUUGUCUUGCUUGACUGCCAAACCUAAGACAAACCUUUCCACUCAUGGGGCAAUUGGUGUUCGAUGGGAAAGACCAAAAAAGGAUUGACUGAACCAAAAAAUGGACGGAUCUUUCACAUCUGAUGGAACCGUGGUAUGAUCUUGCGUGACCAUUUGGGAAAAAAAUAUUUGAUGUGCAUGCCGCCACCUUGUGGAAAAUAUGAGAUUAACGCUUGCAUCUUGCAGGGGUGCUUUACGUGUUAAUAUAGGCCACCGGUCAGGUUGUUACAAAGAUCUACAAGAUUAGUUGUUGGAUUGUUAUACAAGUUAUAUCUCCAACAAGUAACUUAAACACAAUCAUAUACUGUUUAUAUUACACGGAUAUGUGUUACAUCUUUUAACACACCUAGGGACGUGCCUUCGUGUCAUACAUGUGUUACAUUCGUCUCUUCGUUCAUUUCAUUCUUUUAUUUAUAUUUCUUAAAUUAAAAAUAUCAAAUUUAUAAAAUUUAAGAAAAUGUAUGUAGUGCGUCCAACUAAUGUGUGUGCAACGAUUUGAAAAUGUUACUAAAAAUAUUAUUUUAAACAUUUUUUUAAAUAUGCUCGGGAGUGUCAAAAAAUAUGUUUGGUUUAAAAACAAUUAUUCAUAAAAUGUAAGAAAGUCUUCACAAAAUUGAAAAUAAUGUUCAUACCAUUCAUAAAAAGUACAUGACAUCUAAAAUAAUGUUCAUGUGUUUAAACAUAAUAUUUUUGAGAAGGAGAGGGUGCGUAGAUCUGUGGCAUGGUUAAUGCAACUAUUUGGCAGCAGUGAUUUUCAAUACAACUAAAGUAUUAAAAACUGUGUAGCAACAAUUGUCAUCAUACGAACGAUGACAAUAGUUUGUUAUAAUGAAUGGUAAUACUCCAUGGGCGGUAUUACCAUGCGUCGACUAGAAAUCCUUCAAUCUGUUUCUGAAAUAUGGGCUUUUUGUUUGUAUGAAGUAUGACAUCCUCAGAUGCAACAUCCGUUGCAGUUUAGACUUUAGACUCACACUCAGGGCUUCCAUUUCACUGCCAUUGUCACAACUGGAAACACCACACUUGCCUAGUACCCACGGCACUCGGUAAUGUUCAAAAACAGCUCGGGAAAGAGCUUGCUGACUCCAUCAUAUUGGUUGACUCGACAAAGAGGUGUCAACUGGUCUCCUCCCAGCAAAGGAAGUUGUCCUAGUUUUUUUUUCUCUCGGGUAGUCGCAAAUGUUUUUUGAGUGCAAACCAUAGUUAACUAGGCAAAAUAAAGUGACACAUGGAAUGGUGAUGGCAACAGUCAUGCCAUGUGUUUGAGGUUUUUGCCGAGUUCCUCCGCCGCUAUACUAAUGGACUUUGUCAGCGCGCCACCUGCCUAGUUUGUUUGGUUAGACCUCUUGUGUCGGUACUAACUAAUAUUUUCCUUACACUCCGUAAACUCUUGGCCACUACGACAUCCAUGUGUCCGUCAGGUUUGCCGUACCUUUCUGGGCACAAAGGAAAGCUUUACCGAGUGCAAGACAAAGCAAACUCGUGUCCUAGAAGCUAUCACAUAGUGCCACGUGUCAUGUUUGCCUAGUGUUACACUUAGGAAACACAUCAUAUUUAAUUUUUGAAAAGUCGUGCAAAUAUAGAACAAUUCGUUAAAAUAUAUUUUAUAGUCACAUAUAGAUCAAGAAUCCAUGGAUUGCGAAGCAACCUAUAAUUGGAUGGUUAGGAGGACAGUAGCAUUAUCCCUUGACUUAUUUUAGACUUCCAGCGACGUUUGUUCGGUGAGAAAAGAUGUUUCUGUCGACUGCGAGACAUUUAUAAUGACUUCGUAAAAUCUCAAGAUGCCAUGUGGACUUGGUCUUUUAAAGAUGCUUAUAGGGUAGGAUAUACUCUACGCAUGCGUUCACAAGGACAAGCGUAUGCAAAGGCGUAGCUAGGCCCCGUGCUACCAGGGCUGUGGCUUGAGGCAUGCCGGCUUGUUGAUUGUAGCUGCAUGAUCUAUGUUUGAUACUCCCUCCGUUCCAAAAUUCUUAUCUUAGAUUUAUUUAAAUGUGAAUGUAUCUAGUCAAAUUUUAGUAUUUAGAUACAUCCAUUUCAAGACAAAACUAAGACAAAAAAUUUGAGACGGAGGGAGUAGUAUUUACUACUGUAGCAAUGAUGUUCGCUUAUGGCUAGUCUCCGAGUGUAUGCUUGUGUAUGUGAAUCAAUUUGAUUGUACUGUGUUCAAAAAAGAAACUGAUGGACUGGUGGGUGAAAGUAGCUAGUCAAAAAAGGAAGCAAUGAAGUAUAUAAAUUACAUUGACCUGGAGACUAGCCGGUGAUUGGAAUUAUUUUUCCAACUGACUAUAGAAGAUAUCACAUGGUCAUUCACCAGGAAUUCAUGAGUCACACUCACAUGCAUGCAUUCAAUUGUUUUUGACAAUGUGAACAUCCAAUACUGAGGUAUAAGCAGCUACACCAAGUCUUUGUCUACGUGCUUAUCUGUAUAUGCUUUGGUUGUUGCUUCAUUGAAAGCACGUGUGAGGCUUGUGGUCGGACGCAAUCAAAUCCAGCUCGACCGACUAGCACAUGUACAAGCUCGGCUACAGCCUAUACGUAGAUGUAUUUGAAGACUUACACACCAAGUCUUUGUGUAUAUGUUUUGAUUCUGAAUCUAAUCAUGUUGCUUAAUUACUCAAACCGCGUCUCAAGCCAUUAUUUCUCUUGCGUAGUUAGUUGGGUACUAUUACAAAUGCCCGUGCUUUGCACCGGGCGAAAAAAAGACUUAACCUGCUUUAUGUGUCAUUGUUCAUCAUUUUUAUAUCCAUUUUUAAUAAACGUUCAUAAUAUGGUAUAAAAGUUAAUGUUUUAGCAAAAGAACCCGUGCGUUGCAAUAUGUAUGAAAUAAAUUCGGCUACUUGAUCUAUAGCCGGCGUGCGGGGCGAAAUAAGACGCAUCCCCUCCUCUAGACCCAGUUCGAGCAAGAUGCAUCAUUUUGUCGUACUCUCUCAACUCUUCGUCCAUUCCUCCUCUCUAUCUCAUCAACGGUAUCACGAACAUCAUGACUCAGAGGAAUAUAUUGAUGAUCAGAUAGUCCAUAGGUGAGCCCUAAAUAUCUUUUCCCUUAAGAAAUAGUAUUUGUUUUCAAUAUUUUUUUUAACAAAUCUUCCAAUAUCUCAGUCACACAUCUUUGAAGUACUCUAACUACUACUGUAUUCAUAAUUAAGAUUAAGAUAUGGUAGGCUUAAACAGCAGCCAAGUAAAUUGUAUGCUAGCAGAGAUCGAGAUCUAGAUCUAUGCAAAAAAAAAGAUCGACAUUGUAUCGUUUUAGAAAAGCAGUAGAGCAACACACAUCUAUGCAUACUGUUCAGUGUGUUAUGUAAAAAUUUCAAAUGGCAUGAAACAGCCAAUUCAAGAAUUGAAUUGGCGUCAUAUUGCAAGCUAUACACUCGAGUCGGUCUGACCAUGUUGGUUAUAGUUGCAGAACAAAUAUUUCUUGAGAAUUUGCAAGUAAUUAUUAAGAUUAUAAUCUAGAGAACUACCUUGUCCAACUAAAGAAGAAAGAAUCCCCCUUGCUCAGUUGUAACAUUACGCCACAGAUAGCAUCUGAUCCUAAUCUCACAUUCUCUUACUGGUUAUGGACUUCAGCUGAUCUACUCCUCCACUUAGGCCCCUGUCGCUUCAGACAACUUGGUCUCUUUGGUCGCUUCACACUGAACAUCCAGCAGUUUCCUAAUGAAUUUCAUUCAGUUCCAACUCAAGCAAAUUCGCAACUAAACGAUAUGGGCAAACUCAUUGACAUGUACUUUAAAUUGACAACAAACAACGACAGAAAGGACAACUCAUUAUACCAAUAACACCCAAGCUGGUAAGCCUCAAGUACUCAAAAGGUCUUGCCUUGCUGGUAGUAUUCAGGAACGGGUAUAGGUACAGUGGGAUGUGAGCUGCAAAGGAAAAGGAAGAAGACUCAUUUGUUAACCACUGCUAAUUAAGAUUUACUUAUUUGGUAAGGUCAGAACAGAUGAGGAAAGAUUUUCAACAAUAAACAACGAAAAUAUUUAAGACUUAACAUAGAAACAGUCGCGCUCAGUACCAUUCAAGAACGGGAUCCUGGUCUCAGGGUGUGAAGCAACACACUGCAAUUGAAAAACAAAAGUAAGAUGAAACUGAGGGGAGAGCACGUACUAAAUUCCACCAUGGUCAGGCAUACUACUUUUUUUUCUCUAUAAACAGAGGAAUUGGGAGCAAGAUAUGUGAGCAAUCCGCCACUGCCUCUGGCCGUUGUUGAACCCCUUGCCGGCGCCGCCAGCCGACGAAUCUGACCUUCCCCUCGUUGGAUCCGGUCCACCACGAGCCUCAAGCCACCCUGCUGUCGCGCUCCUUCUCCGCCUUGCCGCCGAAGAGCCUAGCCGCUGCCGCACAGAUUUGCAACAAAAGUCUCCCCGCUCUUUGACCCAACUUGAUCCGGAGAUAGGGGUAGGCGCGCCGACGGGGCAGGCGGUGGUGGCGCGUGGUGAGGCGGGGAGGGACAGGGCAUGGCAGGANNNNNNNNNNNNNNNNNNNNNNNNNNNNNNNNNNNNNNNNNNNNNNNNNNNNNNNNNNNNNNNNNNNNNNNNNNNNNNNNNNNNNNNNNNNNNNNNNNNNNNNNNGUGGUCGGAGAUGGCGGCGGGCUGGAGAUGGGAUCGGGAGGCACGGGUGGAUUCUUUUCUCUCGCACGCACCGGUUCAUUGACUUAUUUGGAGGACCGCGGGUUAAUUAACUAAAAGAGCAAGGGCUUUUUUGAAAAAACGUUGCGGCGUACGGCAGAAGCAGUAGCUGCUUUAUUAUUCAGGAAAGACUAAUACUACGUGCCCCCACACAUACACACAUUUUUCCAUGUGUACUCUAUAUAAACCUCCACAGGGCAGGCUGCAAAACAAAAAACACCCAAUCCCAAACCCAACCCAAGAGGAAGAACACAGGAAGCAAACGUCCAUCGGGCAUAACGAUCCACCACCACAGCCAUGGGUGCCCGCUUGUCCGCCAUGAGCACGGCGACUUCACCUGCGACGGUUGUGGCCGCGGUGGAAGGGGUGCCCGCUACCGCUGCCACGGCUGCGAUUUCGACCUGCAUCUCUCCUGCGCCACCUACAACUUCCCCUGCCAUGGUCACCCGCUCAAGUAUCAGCCGCGCUGUCCUUCAGGUGUCCAGUGUUAGGUUGAUCUCUUCCGCGUGGGCCCAACGGCCCACCGGGCCCUUGAUCUAUGCGCCCUGAUCGGGGGCGCCCAACCCGUUAUGGUUGGUGGGCCCCUGUGACGUGCGCUAUAUAUAAAGUGGUGGGGCCGGGGCGCACGGUACGAGGUUCACCGCGCCGCCAGACUCCCCACCUAAAUCCCCUUUCGAUCUAGGGUUAGCGCAGUGCUCACGGGAAGCACCACCCACGAUCACACCUUUUCCCUCACGCCACCGACGACUACACCGGCACUGAUGGCCAGAGCAGGGAGUUCCUCGGGCUCGGGACUAGGUGAGUAAAAGGUUUCACCGGAUCUAUCUAUGCCUAGUCGAUCUACGGCUUUAACAUUGGUAUCAUGAGCCACUAGGCAGAGGUUUAUUCGGUACAAAGAAAAGAAAGCAUUUGUUCCCCAUCCCUACGAACCCUAGAUGGGCAAGGCACUGAGGAUGGCUACGGCCUCGUCAGAAAAGAAGCGCCGCCGCAAGGCCGCGCCUAUUCCUCUCGAUCCCCACACGCAUCGGCAAGCCGAGGUGCGGAGAAGAAGAACCUACCCCCUCGGGGGCUAAGUACGGAUCAAGAUCCGAAAGGAAAAAACAAAAAGAAAGGGGGAACGAUGCAAAACAAGGACAAAAGAAAACAUGUCGGGUCAGAUCAGAAAAGGCAAAAAAGAUAGGGAGAAUGGCAACGAGGCACCACGGCCAACCCACUCGACGGCGACGCGCUCCCCGCAAAGGAACGCGCCACCGGCGAAACCGGAGGCCACGGCGCCAUGUUCCUUUUCUCUGUAAAGAAAAACAUAGGAGAUUCCGGUGAGGGGCUUGGCUACAGCGCAAGCGAAAGGCAGGGUGGAUGGCACCCCAACGCCCCCCUUGACGGCGGCGCACUCUCCCUCGGGAGAGGGCGCGCACCGGCAAGAGGAGCGGAGGGGGCCGCCGCUGCAUGACAUGGUGGCCGGUCGGCAGAUCUGACCCUCUCCGGCGGGGCAAGAGCCUCCACGCGAGAGAGAAAAAAGGGCCGGCCGAGGCUCUCGCUGGCGGGGAUAUCGAGACGCCGCCGCGCAGAGAAGCCCGAGCCGGCAAAAAAAGGAAAAAGGGCCGGCCGAGGCUCUCGCUGGCGGGGCGAGACGCCGCCGCGCAGAGAAGCCCGAGCCGGCAAAAAAAGGAAAAAGGGCCGGCCGAGGCUCUCGCUGGCGGGGCGAAACGCCGCCGCGCAGAGAAGCUCGAGCCGGCAAAAGGAAGAAGAAGGGCCGGCCGAGGCUCUCGCCGACGGGGCAAGGCACCACCGCGAACGAGCAGCUCAAGCCGACCACGGGCGAGAAGGACUGAUAGAGCGGCGCGGGUGGGAAAAUGAGGGGUAGGGUCUCCCCUCCCCACCGGCCCAGCCUUUUUGUUCCCCCGAGGGCCGCGGGGGACCGUCCGAUCUGACGGAUGGCCAGGAUCGCCCCCUAUGAAACCCUAGGCGCGGCUCGGGCCUCUAAGGCCGGCGGGAGGCAGGCCGGCCCAGGCCAGGANNNNNNNNNNNNNNNNNNNNNNGCCGGGGGGAGCCAGGCCGGCCCAGGCCAGGCCGAAGCGGCGCGCAAAGGGAGAUGGGCCUUCGGGCCGAAAGCAAUAAAAGACCCACGGCCGGUUCCUUUUUUGGGGCUUUAAAGGAUUUUAUGUUUCUGUCUAUUUAGAUAGAUAUAAAAGUGUUUUCUAGAUGUUUUUUCUAUGAAAAUAUGUUUAGAAAAAAUAGAAAGUAAAAAUGUUCAAAGUUUCUGUAAUUUUAUACAGAAUUGUUAUAUUUUUUCUGUAAAGAAAAGUAAAAGGGUUUUUGAGAAUAAAAUAUCUUUCUUAGAAAAGGAAUAGUUCAUGAAUUUUAUAAAGGCAUUAAUAAAGUUCAUGAAUUUUAUUUUAAAUUUCAGAAUUAUUUUCUGUUAAGUUAAGAGGCACAUGAAAUUUUAUUUCACGUUUUCCGCUGCUAAUAGCAAUAUGGAAUAUGAUCAUGUUGUUAUUCUGACCGACGUUGUUUAAUCACACGGUCAUAUUGCAUAUUGCAAAAUGAUGCAUUUAUUUCUAUCAUUUGCCCAACGGUAAUGUAGAUUAAUAUGCAUAGGAAAUUAUAUGAUUACGUUAACCAACGUUAUUUAAUGCAUAUGAUUGUCGUACUGACUUUGCUUAUUUGGUGAUUUCAGGAGGUUUCCAUCUGAUGAGCUGCCUCAAGGAAAUUCCGACACUCAGGGGAGACAACUACUCUGAGUGGAGGAAGAAGGUGGACAUGGCCCUCUGCAUUGCAGAGGUAGACUGUGUGCUGGAGGAACCACAGCCAGCUGCACCUGCAGACCCAGUCAGAGAGGCUGAUGAGGAUGAUGAGAGCUGGGACAAAAAGAAAGGGAAUUAUGAAAAAGAGGUGAUGUCCCACUCCAUCAGCAAGUUAAAUGCCAACAAGAAAUGCUUGGCGUUUAUAAAGAACACCAUUGAGACCACUAUCGUGGGAUCAAUUGCUGAUUGCCCUACGGCAAAAGAAAUGCUGAAUAAGAUAAAGAGUCAGUUUACUGGCUCUUCUAAGACGUAUGCCACCCAGUUGAUCAAACAGCUGGUAACAAAGAGCUACCAUGGUGGUGGCCAUGGCAUAAGGGAGCACAUCCUUAGGAUGAGCCACACGGCGGCUAAGCUCAAACCUAUGGAUGCGGAUCUGGAGAUAAAACCAGCUCUCCUUGUCCACCUGGUGAUGGCAUCUUUGCCUAAGGAGUUCGAGACUUUUGUUGUCAACUACAACAUGCAGCCCGAGACUUGGGACAUAGAAAAAGUCAUCGCAAUGUGCACUCAGGAGGAGGAGAGGAUUAAGGCCUCACAUGGUGGAUCUAUCAACUAUGUGAAGGAAAAGAAGAAGGGCUUUCCGCCCAACAAAGCUUCUCCCUCCAAGCCACAGGGCAAUGGCAAUGGCAAUGGCAAAGCUCCCGUCUAUUUUCAGCAUAGGCACAUUCCAGUGGACAGGGAAACUUGUGUCCACUGUAAGGAGAAAGGGCACUACAAGAAGGAUUGCCCUGUUUUUCUAAAGACCUUCAUGGCGAAGAGAGGUAAAGAUAUAGUUUCUUUUGUUAAUGAAUCCUUGUAUACAAAGUUUAUGAAAUCUACUUGGUGGAUUGACUCAGGAGCAACUGUUCAUGUUGCAAAUUCUUUACAGGGAUUCAGUUCGACGAUAACUUUGCCAAGAAAUUCAAGAGGAAUUGAAGUUGCGAACGGUGUCCAAGCCGAAGUUGAAGCUGUGGGUGACGUCUCCUUGGAGCUAGCCGGUGGUUUCAAACUUAUGCUUAGGGAUGUGCUUUUCGUACCUUCAUGUAAUAGGAACUUAAUAAGUGUUCCCUGUUUAGACAAAGAUGAUUAUCAAUGUUUCUUUGGACAUGGCAAAUGCGCCAUUUGGUCUCAUAAUGAUUAUAUUGGGGAUGCAUUUCUUCAUGAUGUGCUUUAUUUAUUAUCGCUAUGUGAAAAAGCGCCCUAUGUGUUGAAUGUGAAUGAACAAAGUACUUCGUCGAACAACGAUCAAAAGAAAAGAAAAAGAACUCACGACUCCUCGAAACUAUGACACUGUCGAUUGGGCCAUAUUUCCAGGGGGAGAAUAGAAAGAUUAAUCAAAAAUGAAAUUCUUCCAAAGUUGGAGUUCUCUGACUUAGAACAAUGCGUGGAUUGCAUUGAAGGGAAAUAUGUAAAACAAAUAAAGAAAGGAAAAAACCGAAGCACAGGAACACUGGAAAUUGUCCACACUGAUAUUUGUGGACCGUUUCCGGUGAAAAGUGUGGACGGUUAUGAUUUCGUUCAUAACGUUCACAGACGAUUACUCCCGCUUCGGUUACAUUUAUCCAAUCAAAGACCGACAUGAAGCAUUGGAUAAAUUCAAGAUAUUCAAAGCUGAAGUUGAAAAUCAGCUUGAUAAAAAGAUUAAGAUAGUGAGGUCUGACCGUGGGGGGAGUACUACGGUCGACACACUCCAUAUGGCCAAGUCCCUGGACCUUUUGCAAAAUUCUUGCAAGAGACUGGCAUUGUUGCUCAGUAUUCCAUGCCGGGCGAGCCUCAGCAAAAUGGAGUAGCUGAAAGGCGUAACCGUACUCUCAUGGAUAUGGUACGCAGCAUGAUGAGCUACUCAGACCUUCCGUUGGGAUUGUGGAUGGAGGCGCUUAAAACCGCCAUUCACAUUCUCAACAGAGUUCCAAGCAAGUCGGUGCCCAAAACACCGCACGAGCUUUGGACAGGAAGAGUGCCAUCCCUACAACACUUAAGAGUGUGGGGAUGCCCUGCGGAGGCCAAAAUGUUUAAUCCCAAUCUUGGAAAGUUAGACCCGAAGACAGUGAGUUGCCAUUUCAUUGGCUACCCUGAUAGGUCAAAAGGUUUUCGUUUCUACUGUCCAGACAGAUACACAAAGUUUGUGGAAACGAGACAUGCUGUCUUCUUAGAGGACGAGAUGAUGAGGGGGAGCCGGGUAGCUCGGACAAUUGAUCUUGAGGAGAAAAGGGUGCAUGCACCCAUUCCGAUGAUUCAAGAGCCAUUUUUCUCACCACCCGAUGUAACUCCAACCAUGACAACUGCGGGAGAAGACCCGGAACCUGUCCUUCAGGAGCCGACUGAACCCGUUGUUGAUCAUGAAUUGGAAGUGCAGCAAGAAAUAGUAGAAAGUGUGCCCGACAAUGAGGCACUUAGAAGGUCUAAUAGAACAAGAAGACCCGCUAUUUCUACUGAUUAUAAAGUAUACAAUAUAGAAAUGGCCCACAUGGAAGGUGAUCCCACCACAUAUGAGGAGGCCAUUAAAAGCCCUCACUCAUCAAAAUGGAUAGAGGCAAUGGAAGAUGAGAUGAAAUCAAUGAGUUCCAAUCAUGUUUGGGACUUAGAGAUUAUUCCUAAAGGAGCAAAGACAGUAGGCUGCAAAUGGGUCUACAAAACAAAGUAUGACUCUAAUGGGAAUGUAGACAAGUAUAAAGCCCGACUUGUCGCAAAAGGAUUUACACAAAGAGUAGGGAUAGAUUACAACGAGACCUUUUCUCCAGUCUCUUGUAAGGAUUCCUUCAGAAUCAUGAUGGCACUAGUUGCUCAUUUUGAUUUAGAGCUGCAUCAAAUGGACGUAAAGACGGCGUUUCUAAACGGUGAUUUAGAAGAAGAUUUCUACAUGAAACAACCCAAGGGUUUUAUCAUGGAAGGCAAGGAAGAUCUAGGUUGCCGUCUAAAGAAAUCCAUUUAUGGGCUAAGGCAAGCCUCUAGACAGUGGUACAUCAAGUUCAAUGAUACCAUUAAAAGAUUUGGAUUCCAAGAAAAUGUUGAGGAUAAUUGCAUUUAUGCUAAGUUUAAACAUGGGAAAUAUAUUUUCCUAAUCUUGUAUGUGGAUGAUAUCUUGCUUGCAAGCAAUGGUAUUGGUCUAGUACAAGAGACAAAGAAGUUUUAUCCUCACAUUUCGACAUGAAAGACCUUGGUGAAGCUUCAUAUGUUUUGGGCAUUGAAAUUCAUCGAGACAGGGAGAAUGGAGUCUUAGGACUCUCACAGAAAGCAUAUUUAGAGAAAGUUCUUCAAAAGUAUAAUAUGCAUAAGAGCAAAGCCACACCUGCCCCCAUAGUCAAGGGUGAUAGUUUUGGGAAAUAUCAAUGUCCCAAGAAUCAGUAUGAGCUCAAUGAAAUGAAAUUAGUACCGUAUACUUCGGUUGUUGGAAGUUUACAGUACACACAAGUGUGCACACGCCCUAACUUAGCUUUUAUCACCGGAGUACUCGGUAGAUAUCAAGCAAAUCCAGGCCAAGAGCACUGGAAGAUGGCAAAGAAAGCUUUGCGUUAUGUGCAAGGCACAAAGGAAAUCAUGUUGACAUAUAGGCGAUCUGAUUCCCUAGAGAUAAAAGGGUACUCCGACGCCGAUUUUGCGGGAGAUAGAGAUGAUAGAAAAUCCACGUCUGGGUACGUGUUCACUCUCGCAGGGGGAGCUAUUUCAUGAAAAAUCUCUAAACAAACCAUAGUUGCAUCGUCUACGAUGCAAGCAGAGUUCAUAACAUGUUUUGAAGCCACCGGACGGGUGAUAUGGCUAAAGAAAUUUAUACCCGACUUGAAAGUGGUAGAUUGUAUCCACAAGCCACUAAAGAUAUACUGCGACAACCAGCCCGCAGUAUUCUACGCUCACAACAACAAGUCCAGCAAUGCUGCCAAGACAAUAGAUAUAAAGUAUUAUGUUGUGAAAGAUAAAAUCCAGGAUCAAACUAUAAGUCUCGAGCAUAUAAGUACGAAGUAUAUGCUUGCGGAUCCGCUAACGAAAGGCUUACCACCCAGUGUGUUCAAGGAACACUUAGCGGGCAUGGGUUUGAUGGAAAGCCUAUGAUCCCUGGAUAAUAAGAGGCCCAGAAGUAAAUGAAUUUGUUUCAAAACAAAAGGUGUGUUGUGGCUGUAUGAUUCUAUCGGCAAUCAAGCUGUGACGAUGAGACAUGCUCUACACGCCUAUAUGUGAUGGAAUAAAUAAAAGUACAAAGUCAAAGUGAAAGUUGAGAUCAAGGGGGAGAAUGUUAGGUUGAUCUCUUCCGCGUGGGUCCAACGGCCCACCGGGUCCUUGAUCUAUGCGUCCUGAUCGGGGGCGCCCAACCCGUUAUGGUUGGUGGGCCCCUGUGACCUGCGCUAUAUAUAAAGUGGUGGGGGCCGGGGCGCACGGUACGAGGUUCACCGCGCCGCCAGACUCCCCACCUAAAUCCCCUUCCGAUCUAGGGUUAGCGCAGUGCUCACGGGAAGCACCACCCACGAUCACACCUUCUCCCUCACGCCACCGACGACUACACCGGCACUGAUGGCCGGAGCAGGGAGUUCCUCGGGCUCGGGACUAGGUGAGUAAAAGGUUUCACCGGAUCUAUCUAUGCCUAGUCGAUCUACGGCUGUCCUUCAGGUGUCCAGAUCAUCUACGAUGCUUGUAACACAAACGUGUGCAGUGCACACUAUGGUUGCGCUGGCUGCGACUUCCAAGUCCACCCCGCCUGCGUCCAGCGUCGGACGACCGUAGUCCCGCCACAGCCAACAACGAAUUGCACGCCCCGGCCAUGUGGGUAUUGCACCGUCUACUGUGUCUAUUGUGCCCCGGCCCUGUGGGUAUUGUACUGUCUACUGUGUCUAUUGCGUCCAGUGCAACCCGGGCCGCAGGUGUGGCUGAUUGAUUUCAAAAAUAGUUCUCCCCUUCCGCAUAUCGAAUAACAGUUCUCCCUUGCGCAUUACUUCUUUGAUUUGGUACGCUCCAGUGUCUGUAUUAAAAAAUAUGAAUGGUUCUCUUUACCAUGUGAUUUCUUUCAUUGCAUAUGGUCUAUAAUUGUAUCAAAAUUUGGACUGCUUAUUGUAUUGUCUUCAAUAAUGUAAAGUUUAUUCCUGAAUUAAUAAAUUGUUGUUUCGCAAAUGAUUAUUGUUUCGCAAAUUGUGUAUACACUCUGAUCCUUAACAAGUAUGGCUUUAAGACUUAUACUCAAACCGCGUCUCAAGCCAUUAUUUCUUUUGUGUAGUUAGUUGGGUACUAAUACUACGCGCCCCACACAUGCACGCAUCUUAUACAUCUAGACUAUAUAUAAACCUCCACAGCGCGCUGCAAAACAAAAAACACCCAAUCCCAAACCCAACCCAAGAGGAAGAACACAGGAAGCAAACGUCCAUCGGGCAUGGCGAUCCACCACCACAGCCAUGGGUGCCCGCUUGUCCGCCAUGAGCACGGCGACUUCACCUGCGACGGCUGCGGCCGCGGUGGAAGGGGUGCCCGCUACCGCUGCCACGGCUGCGAUUUCGACCUGCAUCUCUCCUACACCACCUACAACUUCCCCUGCCACGGUCACCCGCUCAAGUAUCAGCCGCGCUGUCCUUCAUGUGUCCACAUCAUCUGCGAUGCUUGUAACACAAACGUGUGCGGUGCACACUAUGGUUGCGCUGGCUGCGACUUCCAAGUCCACCCCGCCUGCGUCCAGCGUCGGACGACCAUAGUCCCGCCACAGCCAACAACGAAUUGCACGCCGCGGCCCUGUGGGUAUUGCACCGUCUACUGUGUCUAUUGCGUCCGGUGCAACCCGGGCCGCAGGUGUGGCUGAUCGAUUUCAAAAAUAGUUCCACCUUCCGCAUAUCGAAUAAUAGUUUCCCCUUCUGCAUUACUUCUUUGAUUUGGUAAGCUGCAGUGUCUGUAUUUUUUAAAAUAUGAUUGUUUCCCUCAUCUAUAUUUUACCAUGUGAUUUCUUUCACUGCAUAAGGUCCGUAAUUGUAUUGAAAUUUGGAUUGCUUAUUGUAUUGUCUUCAAUAAUAUAAAGUUUAUUCCUGAAUUAAUGAAUUGUUGUCUCGCAA
rnacentral:lncRNA from 1 species